rnacentral:rRNA from 1 species
AGUUUAAUUUUUUAUUUUUUAUUUUUGUGUGUUUUUUUUAUAUAAAAAUUUUUUUGUUUUAGUAAUUAAUUGAAAAAGAAAUUAUUUAUUAUAGUUCAAAGUACCGUGAGGGAAUGUUAUUUAAAUUAUUAAAAGAAAAUUUUAUUUAUUGUACCUUGUGUGUCAGGGUUUAUUAAUUUAAUUUUAAAAAUUUACUAUUCUCGAAUUUAAAAGAGCUAAAAAUUUAAUUUAUUUUAUUGUAAAAUAAAUAUUUAUAAUUUGUUUUUAGUAGUGAAAUGUUAUUCGUUUUUAAAUAUAUCUAGUUUCUUAAGAAACAAAUUUAAUUUGCUUAAUUUAUAUAAUUUUAAUUUUUAUUAUUUUUAUUAUUUUAUUAAUUUAAAUUAAAGGGGAAGAGCUUUUUGAUUAAAUUUUAAAUUUAAGUAUUUUUUUAAUAAUAAUAGGAUUAGAAAUUUUCAUUUUUAAGAAAAUGUUAUAAUUCAUUUUUUAAAUAAAAAAUUUAUUUGUUUUUAAUUUUUUUAUUGAGAUUUAAAUUUUAAUUUUGAAUUUUUAGUAAUAAUGAUAAAAUUAGUAUAAUCUAAUUUAAAAUUAAAUUUUAAUUUUAGGUUAAAUUAAGGAAUUCGGCAAAAACUUUUUCACCUGUUUAUUAAAAACAUGUCCUUAUGAUUAUAAUUUAAGGUCUGACCUGCCCUAUGAAAAUUUAAAUGGCCGCAGUAUUUUGACUGUGCAAAGGUAGCAUAAUCAUUAGUUUUUUAAUUGGAAACUGGAAUGAAUGGUUUGAUGAAAAAAGAACUGUCUCUAUUUUUAAUUUUUUAGAAUUUUAUAUUUAAGUUAAAAAGCUUAAAUAUUAUAAAAAGACGAGAAGACCCUAUAGAGUUUUAUAUAAUAUUAUUUAAUUUAAUUUUAGAAUUUUAUUUAUUUAUAUAAUUUUUAUUUUUUAUUGGGGUGAUAAAAAAAUUUAAUUAACUUUUUUGUUUAAUUUACGUUAAUAAUUGAUUAAUUGAUCCUAACUUUUAGAUUAUAAGAAAAAAUUACCUUAGGGAUAACAGCGUAAUUUUCUUAAAGAGUUCAAAUCGAUAAGAAAGAUUGCGACCUCGAUGUUGGAUUAAAAUUUAAAUUUGGCGCAGAAGCUUUAUUUUUAGGUCUGUUCGACCUUUAAAAUUUUACAUGAUCUGAGUUUAAACCGGCGUGAGCCAGGUUGGUUUUUAUCUUUUAAAUUUUAAAAUAUUUUAGUACGAAAGGACCAAAUAUUUAAAUAAUAUUUUAUUGUUGAAU